UACGAAGGGGGCUAGCGUUGCUCGGAAUCACUGGGCGUAAAGCGCACGUAGGCGGAUUGCUAAGUCAGGGGUGAAAUCCUGGAGCUCAACUCCAGAACUGCCUUUGAUACUGGCGAUCUUGAGUCCGGGAGAGGUGAGUGGAACUCCGAGUGUAGAGGUGAAAUGCGCAGAUAUCGGGAGGAACACCAAUGGCGAAGGCAGCUCGCUGGGACGUUACUGACGCUGAGACGCGAAAGCGUGGGGAGCAAACAGG
rnacentral:rRNA from 1 species